GGCAUACAAAGAUACAGAAUGGCUCUGGAUGUGUGCUUCAGUCAGAUGCUUUGACCUGUGUGUGUAUCAGUGAAGGGUUUCCCUUACCUACCAUCAAAUGGCCGCUCCUAGAAAACCACACUCAGUAUACUCUCAUUACUACUGUGUCAAACCACACAGUCAACAGCACUGUCAGUCUAACUGUAAAAAAACAUGGCAACAGCACUGUUGAAUGUGUCAGCAACAAUGGAAAUGGAGAAGAAAGAGAAAACCUGCUGGUCCAAAAAAAACAUGAAGAACCAUCUAGUUUCAGGUUGGGAUUCCUGAAAGUCAUCAUUGUCUUUUUGACUGGGGUACUUUUUUCAGUAAUCAUGCACUGUUUGGUCAAAAAUUGCUACAGAAAAAAAAAGAAGAGCUCCAGAAAUUCUGAUGAGACUUUGGAGAUGGAGACACGUCGAAAUGAUAAAAUGAUAUGUGACGGUCCAGUAUUUCAAGGCAGUCAGAUGCUAAACUCAAACAGCGGAAGAAAAG
ensembl:lncRNA